UCACAGUACCAAGUUGUGUCGGGUAGAGGUUCUACCACAGUACCAAGUUGUGUUGGGGUGAGGUUCUACCUCAGUACCAAGGUGUGUUGGGUAGAGGUUCUACCCAGAUGUGCGAGUCGUGUAUGGGCAUUGGCACAGUACCCAGAUGAUACCUGUCAGGCAAGUAUCAAUUUGGAUAUACAGCCUUCAUAGAAGCUAAAGGCGAAUGUAAUUGUUGACAGAACUGAUGCGAUUCCAUAUAGAGAAAACUCUCUUCCGUUUAAAGUCCAGGAACUGUUGCCAAAAGUCCCUCAUAACCCUGACUAUCAUAAGUUGCACUGCGGGCCCCGGAGUGACUAUUUUUGUACGGCGUAAGAUAUCGGUUUCUGAAACGGGCCUUCGGUUCUUGUGUAAUGGAUACCUGUAGUUGUGUGUGGUAGACUGCAUACUGACGCUAUGCGGUACCGAGCAGGUUAGCACACAUUCUCUCCUCUACAAUACUAAUAUAUAUUCCUGCUAAUAGGGCAUUUGUACGCAUAAGCAUGCGUUGUACGAAAUAACAAAACCAAAGUGUCCUAACUAUACAUUACAGUCUCGCAGAUCUAUCCGUCUGAGAUCAGAGGUCACUUCCACAGAAGGUCGCACUAGGUGAUCACUGUAAUCAUCCAAUCGGCGCAAGGCUUCUACAUUCUUGCUGAAAGUGAUCUAAACAUUCAGAUUGAUAUGUGACUUAUAUAUCUCCAAAACGAAUAUAAUCGGGGAUUUCCGAAUGCCAAAAUCAAAACAUCUAGUGUUCAUUUUAUAUAAGUGUAGGACUUUCUUUGUAUCUGCACUUCAAAUGUGAGGUGAGGUGAAAUUGGUUUAACUUCGUGCUUGAGAAUAUUUCGCUCAUAUGACGACGUGCAUGCGUGUGUAUGUGUAUGUGCGGCUGCUUGUACUAGCCCAGACUUAAGCUGGUUUUAUAGUGCUAGCCACUUCAAAGGUAGUACAAUAUGUUCAGUUAAGGCUUUAAUUGGUAACAAUCGAAAUUGUCCUGUAUCUCCACGGCUAGCAUUUCAGUAAACCUAAGCUUACCGUAGAAUAUCAUUAUCCUGGUUAUCGCAGUUACAUAAUUACAUAAUUUUGAUUUUAAUUUGCAAAUUUGAUUGACAAGGCUGCUAGCGGUGGGUCUGAUUGUGUGUUACGGGCUUAAAUGUUUGGUUGGAUUAACACUGACUGACA